rnacentral:rRNA from 1 species
AAUUUUAGAAUUAUUAAAGUUUAUUAAUUUAUUUUUUUAUAAAAAAAGUAAUUUUAUUUUUAGUAUAUUCUUAGAAUAAAUAUAUAUGUAUAUAUAAUUAUAGUGUAAUAGUAUUGUGAAAGAAUUUUGAAAUUUGUGUGAAAGAAAAAUUAAGUUUUUGUACCUUGUGUAUCAGGGUUUAUCAAAUAAAAUUUAUAUAGAUUAAAUUUCUCGAAUUUAAAAGAGUUAUAAAUAUAUAUAAUUUAUUGUAUCGUGUGCUCUUCCGAUCUUAUAUUUAUGGAAGUGAAAUGCUAUGCGAUUUUAAAUAUAUCUAGUUUUUUAAGAAAAAAAUUUAAUUUUAUUUUUAUUUAUUAUAAAUUUAAGUUGAUAAUUUUAUAGUAGUAAAAUUUUAUAUUUUAUGGGAUGAGCUUUAAAAUAGAAGUAUAUAAUUAAUUUUUAAAUUUAAAUUAAAAAGUAGGAUUGAAAGUUUUUAUCUUUUUUAGUGUUUUAUAACUAUUUAAUUUAGUAUUAAGAUUUUUAUGAAAUUUAUAUAUUUUAUUAAAAUAUAAAUUUAAAUUUUGUAGAUUUAGAAAAAACGAUGCUCUUCCGAUCUAUAGAAAGUCUAUUUGUAAUUUAGAUUUUAGGUUAAAUAAAGGAAUUCGGCAAAUAAAUUUUUCACCUGUUUAUUAAAAACAUGGCCUUUUGUUUAUAAUUUAAGGUCGGACCUGCCCAAUGAAUUAAUUAAAUGGCCGCGGUAUUUUGACCGUGCAAAGGUAGCAUAAUCAUUAGUUUUUUAAUUGAAAGCUUGUAUGAAGGGUUUAAUGAAAAAAUAGCUGUCUCUAUUUAAAUUUAUUAGAAUUUUAUUUUUAAGUAAAAAAGCUUAAAUUUAUAUAAAAGACGAGAAGACCCUAUAGAGUUUUAUAUUUUUUUUGAAUAAAAGAGUUAGGAAUUUUAAUAUUUUAUUUAAAAAGAGUAUUUAGUUGGGGUGAUUAAAAAAUUUAAAGAACUUUUUUUGUAUCUAAACAUUGAUUUAUGAAUAAUUGAUCCUUUGUUAAGGAUUAAAGAUAAAAUUACCUUAGGGAUAACAGCGUAAUUUUUUUUAAGAGUUCAAAUCUAAAAAAAAGAUUGCGACCUCGAUGUUGGAUUAAAAUAAAAUAUUGGUGUAGAAGCUAAUAUAUUAGGUCUGUUCGACCUUUUAAAUUUUACAUGAUCUGAGUUUAAACCGGUGUAAGCCAGGUUGGUUUCUAUCUUUAUAAUUAUAUGGUAUCUUAGUACGAAAGGACCGGAUAUUAAAUUAAAAAUUUAUUUUAAGAAGAUUAUUAAUU